CCUCCUCUCUGCCCAGGGUCGAGCUCGCGACAUUUUAAAAAUGGCUUCCAGUCGAACCCGUCAAACUAAAAGCAUCUCCGACAAAAGUAGACUAACGAGGGCUUUCACAACAUAGAACACAGUCGCAGCCUGGAGCCUGUGAGACUGACUGCUGCACACUCUAAAGAAGAUGCUGUUUUGUGGAAACCUGGACGUGUAUUGGCCAAAGAAGCCAGGACACAACAGCUCCCCCUCCUGUGUGUGACAGACUGUGACAGCCAGUGUUUCUAUGGAAACAAGUAAACUGUGCACAGGAGAGUAGGGAAGACGAGAACAAGAGUUUGGUGCAGGGACACAAAAGAGGCCAUCAGGAGCAAGCACAUGACCACAGUGAGUUUAGGAGUUGGAUUGAUUUAUUUCUGUCAACUGAGAAGUGACGGUGAGUCAAAUAACACAGGAGUGAGUUUUACAGAAAUUGGCGUACAGUGUCCUGUUCACACAUACACACUGCUGUUUUGAAUAAGUGUGUGUGUGUGUGUGUG